rnacentral:rRNA from 1 species
GAUGAACGCUGGCGGCGUGCCUAAUACAUGCAAGUCGAGCGAACGGACGAGAAGCUUGCUUCUCUGAUGUUAGCGGCGGACGGGUGAGUAACACGUGGAUAACCUACCUAUAAGACUGGGAUAACUUCGGGAAACCGGAGCUAAUACCGGAUGAUAUUUUGAACCGCAUGGUUCAAAAGUGAAAGACGGUCUUGCUGUCACUUAUAGAUGGAUCCGCGCUCCAUUAGCUAGUUGGUAAGGUAACGGCUUACCAAGGCAACGAUGCAUAGCCGACCUGAGAGGGUGAUCGGCCACACUGGAACUGAGACACGGUCCAGACUCCUACGGGAGGCAGCAGUAGGGAAUCUUCCGCAAUGGGCGAAAGCCUGACGGAGCAACGCCGCGUGAGUGAUGAAGGUCUUCGGAUCGUAAAACUCUGUUAUUAGGGAAGAACAUAUGUGUAAGUAACUGUGCACAUCUUGACGGUACCUAAUCAGAAAGCCACGGCUAACUACGUG